GACGUAGGGGGCAAGCGUUGUUCGGAAUUAUUGGGCGUAAAGCGCUCGUAGGCGGGAUUGGAAGUCCGUGUUGAAAGACCUCGGCUCAACUGAGGGACCGGCUCGGAUACUCUAAUUCUUGAGGCAAUCAGAGGAUGAUGGAAUUCCCGGUGUAGCGGUGAAAUGCGUAGAUAUCAGGAAGAACACCAAUGGCGAAGGCAGCUCUCUGGGACGGUACUGACACUGAGACGCGAAAGCGUGGGGAGCGAACAGG
rnacentral:rRNA from 1 species